GCUGGGCAUGGUGGCGCAUGCCUAUAAUCCCAGCAGCUGGGGAGGUUGAGGAAGGAGGAUCACAAGUUCAAAGCCAGCCUCAGCAACUUAGCAAGGCUCUAAGCAACUUAGCAAGAGCCUGUCUCUA
rnacentral:sRNA from 1 species